GUUAAAAUGGGUUGUGCAAAAAUCGUAUUAAGACUGAAAAUAAUGUGCCAAGAAGGCAUGUUGCAUAUUGAGGGUUGCUUCCACAUCCUGGUGACCACAUGGUUCCUGGUAUAAAAGAAAAACACAAAUUCAGAAAACUGAAGUCUCCUCUUAAUUGCUCUUGGUCUGGAGACAUUUAUACAAACAAAGUCUUGGCCUUCGGUUGGUCGAGAUCAGAGGGAUAAAGGAACUUGACAAAAAAAGGUUUGAGGGGUUCAUUGUAGUUAGAAAUCUCCUGCAGACUCUAAUUUUCUGUGAGGGCAGACGGUUGGGAGUUCUGAUGGAGUGGUCGUUGGAGCAGCAGCGGAUGCUGGAGCCUUAGCUGGCAUGGGUGGUGGGAAAUUUACUGGCGGCAUUUACUGGCAUGAAAGGGUUUCUGUAUCCUGGGUACAUGAGGUAAGAGUGCAUCAAUUCUUGCUGCUGCUGCAUCAACUGUUGCUGCUGCUGCAACUGUUGCUGCUGAUCUUGUGGGGGAAGCUUAGAGGAAGUGGAUGUAGUUGCUUCUGUGGUAGUUGGCACUUCAGUAGUGGGAGCUGCAGCAGUUUGAGGGGGAGCCUUUACUGGCAUGAAAGGGUUUCUGUAUCCUGGGUACAUGAGUUAAGAGUGCAUCAAUUCUUGCUGCUGCUGCUUCAACUGUUGCUGCUGCUGCUGCAUCAACUGUUGCUGCUGCUGUUGAUCUUGUGGGGGAAGCUUAGAGGCAGUGGAUGAAGUUGCUUCUGCAGUUUGGUAGGGAGUCUUUACUGGCAUGAAAGGGUUAAAGUAUCCUGGGUACA
rnacentral:lncRNA from 1 species